rnacentral:rRNA from 1 species
GACGAACGCUGGCGGCGUGCCUAACACAUGCAAGUCGAGCGGAGUCGAUCGACGGAAGCCUUCGGGCGGAAGAUGGUUGACUUAGCGGCGGAUGGGUGAGUAACGCGUGGGCAACCUGCCUCGAAGACCGGGAUAACAGCCCGAAAGGGCUGCUAAUACCGGAUGUGGUCAAGGAUCCGCAUGGAUUUUUGAUUAAAGGGGAAACCCGUUUCGAGAUGGGCCCGCGUCCUAUCAGCUAGUUGGUGAGGUAAAAGCUCACCAAGGCGACGACGGGUAGCCGGCCUGAGAGGGUGACCGGCCACACUGGGACUGAGACACGGCCCAGACUCCUACGGGAGGCAGCAGUGGGGAAUCUUGGGCAAUGGGCGAAAGCCUGACCCAGCGACACUGCGUGGGUGAUGAAGAUCUUUGGAUUGUAAAACCCUUUUCCUGAAGAUGAAAGGUAGGAUUGAGAAUAUCCUUCCUACCUGACAGUAUUCAGGGAAUAAGCCCCAGCCAACUACGUGCCAGCAC